rnacentral:rRNA from 1 species
AUACGUAGGGUGCAAGCGUUAAUCGGAAUUACUGGGCGUAAAGCGUGCGCAGGCGGUUUUGUAAGACAGUGGUGAAAUCCCCGGGCUCAACCUGGGAACUGCCAUUGUGACUGCAAGGCUGGAGUGCGGCAGAGGGGGAUGGAAUUCCGCGUGUAGCAGUGAAAUGCGUAGAUAUGCGGAGGAACACCGAUGGCGAAGGCAAUCCCCUGGGCCUGCACUGACGCUCAUGCACGAAAGCGUGGGGAGCAAACAGGAUUAGAUACCCUGGUAGUCCACUCCCUAAACGAUGUCAACUGGUUGUUGGGGAUUUAUUUUCUCAGUAACGAAGCUAACGCGUGAAGUUGACCGCCUGGGGAGUACGGCCGCAAGGUUAAAACUCAAAGGAAUUGACGGGG